AGGGGCAGCGGGGGUGAUGGCUUGCCAUCGCCUGCCGGCGACCGGCGCACGGGUGAGUAACACGUAUGCAACCUGCCCGCCACAGGGGGAUAAGCGGAAGAAAUUCCGUCUAAUACCGCGUGACGCGGCGCCGGGGCAUCCCGGUGCCGCCAAAGGGAUUACCGGUGGCGGAUGGGCAUGCGGCGCAUUAGCUAGUCGGCGGGGUAACGGCCCACCGAGGCGACGAUGCGUAGGGGUUCUGAGAGGAAGGUCCCCCACACUGGUACUGAGACACGGACCAGACUCCUACGGGAGGCAGCAGUGAGGAAUAUUGGUCAAUGGGCGGGAGCCUGAACCAGCCAAGUCGCGUGAGGGAUGACGGUCCUACGGAUUGUAAACCUCUUUUGCCGGGGAGCAAGCGUGCGUUCGUGAACGCACGUCGAGAGUACCCGGAGAAAAAGCAUCGGCUAACUCCGUGCCAGCAGCCGCGGUAAUACGGAGGAUGCGAGCGUUAUCCGGAUUUAUUGGGUUUAAAGGGUGCGUAGGCGGGAUGCCAAGUCAGCGGUAAAAAUGCGGUGCUCAACGCCGUCGAGCCGUUGAAACUGGCGUUCUUGAGUGGGCGAGAAGUAUGCGGAAUGCGUGGUGUAGCGGUGAAAUGCAUAGAUAUCACGCAGAACUCCGAUUGCGAAGGCAGCAUACCGGCGCCCUACUGACGCUGAGGCACGAAAGCGUGGGUAUCGA
rnacentral:rRNA from 1 species